rnacentral:rRNA from 1 species
AGCGAACGCUGGCGGCAGGCCUAACACAUGCAAGUCGAACGGACCCUUCGGGGUUAGUGGCGGACGGGUGAGUAACACGUGGGAACGUGCCUUUAGGUUCGGAAUAGCUCCUGGAAACGGGUGGUAAUGCCGAAUGUGCCCUUCGGGGGAAAGAUUUAUCGCCUUUAGAGCGGCCCGCGUCUGAUUAGCUAGUUGGUGAGGUAAUGGCUCACCAAGGCGACGAUCAGUAGCUGGUCUGAGAGGAUGACCAGCCACAUUGGGACUGAGACACGGCCCAAACUCCUACGGGAGGCAGCAGUGGGGAAUUUUGCGCAAUGGGCAAAAGCCUGACGCAGCCAUGCCGCGUGGAUGAUGAAGGUCUUAGGAUUGUAAAAUCCUUUCACCGGUGAAGAUAAUGACUGUAGCCGGAGAAGAAGCCCCGGCUAACUUCGUGCCAGCCGCCGCGGUAACAC